rnacentral:lncRNA from 1 species
UCGUGGACAAAUGAUCAGAAGAUCCACACCUCUAUCCCUCAACAUAGCCCAAGUAGGCGGGCAACCCCAAGUCACCUUCCAUAGAAAUAUAUUUAUCCUUGGAUGCACCCCAAGUCUCCAAAUCCAUGAGCCAUCUAGCUACCUGACUGGCUUCACUGUACAUGUCAUAAAAGUUUGUAGCCCUCACCUUCAAGCUACAAGAGGAUC